rnacentral:rRNA from 1 species
UCAUCAUGCCCCUUAUGUUCUGGGCUACACACGUGCUACAAUGGCCGGUACAGACGGACGCAAAGCCGCGAGGUGGAGCAAAUCCUAAAAAGCCGGUCUCAGUUCGGAUUGCAGGCUGCAAUUCGCCUGCAUGAAGUCGGAAUCGCUAGUAAUCGCGGAUCAGCACGCCCGCGGUCCGAAUACGUUCCGGCCUU